rnacentral:rRNA from 1 species
AUUGAACGCUGGCGGCAGGCUUAACACAUGCAAGUCGAGCGGGGUGAUGGUGCUUGCACUAUCACUUAGCGGCGGACGGGUGAGUAAUGCUUAGGAAUCUGCCUAUUAGUGGAGGACAACAUCUCGAAAGGGAUGCUAAUACCGCAUACGUCCUACGGGAGAAAGCAGGGGAUCACUUGUGACCUUGCGCUAAUAGAUGAGCCUAAGUCGGAUUAGCUAGUUGGUGGGGUAAAGGCCUACCAAGGCGACGAUCUGUAGCGGGUCUGAGAGGAUGAUCCGCCACACUGGGACUGGGACACGGCCCAGACUCCUACGGGAGGCAGCAGUGGGGAAUAUUGGACAAUGGGGGGAACCCUGAUCCAGACAUGCAGCGUGUGUGAAGAAGGCCUUAUGGUUGUAAAGCACUUUAAGCGAGGAGGAGGCUCUUUUGGUUAAUACCCAAGAUGAGUGGACGUUACUCGCAGAAUAAGCACCGGCUAACUCUGUGCCAGCCGCCGCAGUAA